AACGAACGCUGGCGGCGUGCUUAACACAUGCAAGUCGAACGAGAAAGUCCUUCGGGAUGAGUAGAGUGGCGCACGGGUGAGUAAAGAAUAGGAACAUACCUAUGGGCGUGGAAUAACCGGGGGAAACUCCGGCUAAUACCGCAUAAGGUCGAAAGACGAAAGGGGGCCUCUACAUGUAAGCUCUCACCGAUAGAGUGGCCUAUUUCCCAUUAGCUAGUUGGUAGGGUAAAAGCCUGCCAAGGCGACGAUGGGUAGCUGGUCUGAGAGGAUGAUCAGCCACACUGGAACUGAGACACGGUCCAGACUCCUACGGGAGGCAGCAGUGGGGAAUCUUGCACAAUGGGCGCAAGCCUGAUGCAGCAACGCCGCGUGAGUGAAGAAGGCCCUUGGGUCGUAAAGCUCUUUCGGCUAGGAAGAAGGGUGUCCUGUAGAAACACUGGACAUUUGACGGUACUAGAAGAAGAAGCACUGGCUGAUUCCGUGCCAGCCGCCGCGGUAA
rnacentral:rRNA from 1 species